AUAAUACCGCUGUGGCAGCCGCGACUCAUAACCCACAGCCCACGACCCGCGACCCACGACCUACGACCUACGACCCUCGAUUACCGAUUCUCGGGCCUGUGGCAGCGGUUACGACUCGAAUAGCAGCAGACCAGAAGGAGGUUGGCAGCGGGGUAGGGAACUGAGGCCCGGCUUCGGUUAUAGUUUGCCGUUCAGUUUGCUCUACAUACUGCAUAAGCAAACAUAUUUUAAUUUGAGGUUGUGUUUACAUUCUGCUCUGUGCCACGCUUCAAGUCACACAACACGGCAGCAGGAUCUACAACUACAGCAACAGAAACAAUAAUAAGAACAGGACCUAGGACAACGUGAAUAACAGCAUCAGCAGGUCCACCCUACACAUGGCAACACAAACUUCUCUGACUAAGUUACAAAAAUUUAAUUUACCAAGUUGUUGGUGCUGUGACUUUGUGAUGUACUCAUGUAAAAUGUUUUUAUUGUAAAGCACCGAACUCAAAAUACUAAAAUAAACCGAAUUAAAAUAAUUAUAUUAAGGAGCA